AUAUAUAUAUAUAUAUAUAUAUAUAUAUAUUACUAUGUGUACAAUUUGGUGGCUAUACUUUGUAUACGCAAAAAAAACUUAGAUCUGUUGCUGUGUGAAAAAAAAACACCAAUAAAUACACAUUCGCAUUUAAUAUAAGUAUUGUUAACUUUUGAGUUAAAUUAAAAAUGAAAAACGAUGAAUCUUGUGACUUAAAUUUGGUAAAAAAAUAAAAGUAAAAAGGUUGACAAUCUGUGAAUACGCGCAACGGCAAUAUGUUUAUACGCGAGCGACAAAGACAAAAGAUGAGGGGUCAAUGUACGAAAUUCUUCGUGCUCCGCGUCCGUACUUUACAC
rnacentral:misc_RNA from 1 species